UUUUCGGAUGGAAUUCGAUUGACUGAGUGGCGGACGGGUGAGUAACGCGUGGAUAACCUGCCUCACACUGGGGGAUAACAGUUAGAAAUGACUGCUAAUACCGCAUAAGCGCACAGUGCCGCAUGGUACGGUGUGAAAAACUCCGGUGGUGUGAGAUGGAUCCGCGUCUGAUUAGCCAGUUGGCGGGGUAACGGCCCACCAAAGCGACGAUCAGUAGCCGGACUGAGAGGUUGACCGGCCACAUUGGGACUGAGAUACGGCCCAGACUCC
rnacentral:rRNA from 1 species